GCACCCUGGAGCGCCGCCCUCGGGUUUCGGUCUCCUGGAUCUGCGGGUCGGUCUCGGCGGGCGGAUUACUCCUCGCCCACAACCUCGAGGCCCCGGGGUCAACCGCGCCCUCCGGGCCGGCAACCCAGGGUUUAGUCAGAUUCCUCCUGACCCACCGCUUCUGGGAAAGAGGCGCCUCCCGUCAGGAGGAUGCUGAGUUCCUCAUGACUGGACCAGUGAGUGUCCACUCCCUGGUCCCUGGCGAGAGAGGCGGGACCCCCACGCCCUCCUGGCGCUCUUUGCAGAGAUGUUCCUCAGGCCCAAUCCGGGAUUUGGGAUGUCUGUGCGUGCUGUGGAGCAGAGAGUUUGCAACAUGUAAGUGCCGUGCGUGAGGAAGAGUAAAAUUAACCUAUGGAGCCUGCUCAUUUUUAAUGUGGAGGGCAGUUCCGUUCCUUUCUUUCGCCGCUUCGAGGUCAUUUUAACACUCAAAUCUAACAUAUAAGAAAAAAAGCCAGGCAUAAUCAUGGCCUUUUAUUUCCCUCAUUAAGGAUUACAUCAGGUGACAUAAGCCAUUUUAACAUACAUCAUGAAGAAAGUGAUUAGUAAUUUAUAAAGGCACAUUAAAAUACCAUAUAAAUUACGGUUUUCUUGAUAGGAUCAUGAUGGUGACUUUAAGAAAGUGGUUGAAUGUGGAUGAAACAGUUUGCUGUGGAUUGUAGCACGUGUGGCAGGAUAUGUAGGCUUGUUGGUUGGUUGUUUUGAGACGGAGUCUCCCUCUUGUCGCCGAGGCUGGAGUGCAGUGGUGCGAUCUCGGCUCACCUCAACCUCCUCCUUCCAGAUUCAAACGAUUCUCCUGCCUCAGCCUCCCGAGUAGCUGGGAUUACAGGCGCCCACAACCAUGCCCGGCUAAUUUUUAUAUUUUUAAUAGAGACCGGGUUUUGCUAUGUUGACCAGGCUGGUCUCAAACUCCUGACCUCAGGUGAUCCGCCCGUCUCGGCCUCCCAAAGUGCUGGGAUUACAGGUGUGAGCCACUGUGCCUGGCCAGUAUAUGUAGGCUUUCUGCAUUCUAUGCAGUUCAGUUCAUUCAUCCAACAAAUAUUUAAUGCCUGUUGUGUGUCAGACGUUAUCCUAAAGACUGAAGAUGCAAAAGGGAUUAAGACUCAAUUCCUUUGGCCAGGCACGGUGGUUUACGCCUGUAAUCCCAGCACUUUGGGAGGCCAUAGCGGGCGGAUCACCUGAGGUCAGGAGUUCCAGACCAGCCUGGCCAACAUGGUGAAACCCCGGCUCCACUAAAAAUACAAAAAGUUAGCCGGGUGAGGCGGUGGGCACCUGUAAUCCCAGCUGCUCAGGAGGCUCCCUGUUGCAGUGAGCCGAGAUCACACCACUGCCCUGCAGCCUGGGGAACAGAACGAGACACUGUCUCAGAAAAAUAACCAAACAAAAAAGACUCAUUUCCUUCUUGCAAAGCUCACAGGUUGGGUAGAAGAGAUAUGUAAACAAGUAAUUGCACUAGAUAUGACAAGUACAUCUUUUUGAACAUACAUAGAUUUAAGUUAUCUAAUACAGUUUGCUUUGUAAUAAAAACCACUUAUCUUAGUCCCUUCAUUUUGAAUUCAACAUUUUUCUAUUUAGUAUUCACCUCACAUUCUUUUUUAGUAUUUUGGUAGAAUCAGACUCUUCAAAACGGUUAAUAGGAUUUCAGAAAUUAAGUCAAUUUUCAGUGCCAGCUAGAAUGGACCUUUGGAUUUAGGACAGAGGUUCUCCAAAUGUGAGCUGGGGACUGUAGACAAUCUCCGAGGUUCUUUCUGGGAUCCAUGAGGUCAAAAAGUUUUCAUGUGUUACUUGCUUUUUUCACUCUUGUUCUCUCAGAAGUGUACAAUGAAGUUUUGUGGAGACUAUAAUGUGCUAUCAAAGCAAAUAGAAUUAAGCUGUUUUUUAAGUCAGAUAUUAGAGAUUUACAAAAAUGUAAAACAAUGCCAAUCUUAUCUUUUGUUUUUAAAAUAUAGUAAUUUUUCAUUAAAAUAUGAUAUUUAUGUUAACAUGUAAUGGGCUUAUUGUCAAUUUUAAGGAAUUAAUCUUUUAUAUAUAAUUUAUCAGUUUUCAUUUCUAAUAUGGUAAAUACCAAUAGUUACAAUCCACAUGAAAAAAACUUCUUUGAGUCUUCAAUUUUUAAACAUGCCAAGGGGUCUUGAUACUACAAACUUUGAGAACUGCCAAGGUAGGCUAGUUAUUUUCAAAUUAUGUUUCAUGGAGCCCUGAAUCCUCUGGUAGUGUGUCAGAAAUCUGUGAGGAUAGAGAAUCAGUAGGAAGUUAAAGACAAGGCUCUGGGUUCCCACAUCUCCCCGUCUUCUCUAAUGGCAGUUCAAUUUUUCUCUGUUUAUCUGGUUUUUUGUUUUUUGCUUUUUGUUUUUUUUUUCUUGAGACGGAGUCUCGCUCUGUCAUCCAGGCUGGAAUGCAGUGGUGCAAUCUUAGCUCACUGCAACCUCCACCUCCCAGGUUCAAAAGAUUCUCCUGCUUAGGCCUCCCAAAUAGCUGGGACUACAGGUGCGCACCACCACAUCACGCUAAUUUUUGUGUUUUUAGUAGAGACAGGGUUUUGCCAUGUUGGCCGGGCUGGUCUCAAACUCCUGACUUCAGGUGAUCCACCUGCCUUGGCUUCCCAAAGUGCUGGGAUUACAGGCAUGAGCCAUCAUGCCUGGCCUGUUUAUCUGCUUUUUGUAUCAAUUAGGUGGAGACUCUCAAACUUCAAUUCUUGACUACUGUGUACCUACAGGCUCAACACCAAGUGGAAGCUGCCAAGGCUUGGGGCUUCCACCCUCUGAAGCAAUAGCCCAAGCUAUGCCUCAGCCCCUUUUAGUUACAGCUGGGGCAGCUGGGACACAAGGCACCAAGUUCCUAGACUGCACACAGCAGAGGGAUCCUGGGCCCGGCCCACAAAACCAUUUUUUCUUCCUAAACCUCCAGGCCUGUGAUGGGAGGAGCUGCCAUGAAGAUCUCUGACAUGCCCGUUUUCCCCAUUGUCUUGGUGAUUAACAUUCGGAUCUUCCUUACUUAUGCAAAUUUCUACAGCUAGCUUGAAUUUCUCCUCAGAAAAUGAGAUUUUCUUUUCUGUCAUGUUGUCAGGCUGCAAAUUUUCCAAACUUUUAUGUUCUGUUUCCCUUAAAAACUGAAUGCCUUUAACAGCACCCAAGUCACCUCUUGAAUGCUUUGCUGCUUAGAAAUUUCUUCUGUCAGAUACCCUAAAUCAUCUCUCUCCAGUUCAAAGUUUCACAAAUCUCUAUGGCAGGGGCAAAGUGCCGCCAGCCUCUUUGCUAAAACAUAACAAAAGUCACCUUUGCUCCAGUUCCCAACAAGUUCCUCAUCUCCAUCUGAGACCACCUGAUUGGAUUUCAUUGUCCAUAUAAUUAUCAGCAUUUUUGUCAAAGCCAUUUAACAAGCCUCUAGGGAGUUCUAAACUUUCCUGCAUUUUCCUGUCUUCUUCUGAGCCCUCCAGACUGUUCCAACAUCUGGCUGUUAACCCAGUUCCAAAGUUGCUUCCAUAUUUUUGGAUAUCUUUUUAGCAGUGCCUCACUCUACUGGUACCAAUUUACUGUGUUAGUUCUUUUUCAUGCUGCUGAUAAAGACAUACCCAAGACUAGGAAAUUUACAAAAGAAAGAGGUUUAUUGGACUUACAGUUCCACAUGGCUGGGGAAGCCUCAUAAUCAUGGUGGAAGGUGAAAGUCAUGUCUCACAUGGCAGCAGACAAGAGAAGAGAGAACUUGUGCAGGGAAACUCUCAUUUUUAAAACCAUCAGAUCUCAUGAGACUUAUUCACUAUCACAAGAACAGCACGGGAAAGACCUGCCCCCAUGAUUCAAUUAUCAUCUGCCGGGUCCCUCUCACAACAUGUAGGAAUUAUGGGACCUACAAGAUGAGAUUUGGGUGGGGACACAGAGCCAGUCAUAGUAAGGUAUUGUUUGGGUAAAACAUAAGCCUUUCUUUCCUUUCUUUUUUUUUUUUUUACAGGGUCUCACUUUGUCACCCAGGCUGGAAUGCAUUGGCAUGAACACGUCUCACUGCAGCCUCAACCUCCCAGGCUGAAGUGACCCUCCAACUCUGCUUUCACAGUAGCUGUGAUAUGGUUUGGCUGUGUCCCCACCCACAUCUCAUCUUAAAACCCAGUGGGAGGUAAUUGAAUCAUGGGGGCAAGUCUUUCCUGUGCUGUUCUUGUGAUAGUGAAUAAGUCUCAUGAGAUCUGAUGGUUUUUAAAAGAGUUCUGGCUGGGCAUGGUGGUGGGCACCUGUAAUCCAAACUACUAGGGAGGCUGAGGCAGAGUGAAUUGCUUGAACCUGGGAGAAGGAGGUUGCAGUGAGCCGAGAUUGCACCGCUGCACUCCAGCCUGGGCAAAAUUGAAGACUCUGUCUCCAAAAAAAAAAAAAAGGAGUUCCUCUGCAUAAGCUCUCUCUCUUUGCCUGCUGCCAUCCAUGUAAGAUGUGACUUGCUCUUCCUUGCCCUAUGAUUGUGAGUCUUUCCCCAGCCACGUGGAACUGUAAGUCCAAAUAAACCUCUUUCUUUUGUAAAUUGCCCAGUCUUGGGUAUGUCUAUCAGCAGCAUGGAAAUGGACUAAUACAGUAAAUUGGUACCAGUAGAGUGGGGUGUUGCUGAAAAGAUACCUGAAAAUGUGAAAGUGACUUUGGAACUGGGUAGCAGGCAAACAUUGGAACAGUUUGGAGGGCUCAGAAGAAGACAGGAAAAUGUAGGAAAGUUUGGAACUUCCUAGAGACUUGUUGAAUGGCAUUGACAAAAAUGCUAAUAGUGAUACGAACAAUAAGAUCCAGUCUGAGGUGGUCUCAGAUGGAGAUGAGGAACUUGUUGGGAACUGGAGCAAAGGUGACUCUUGUUAUGUUUUAGCAAAGAGACUGGUGACAUUUUGCCCCUGCCCGAGAGAUUUGUGGAACUUUGAACUUGAGGGAGAUGAUUUAGGGUAUCUGGUGGAAGACAUUUCUUUUUUUUUUUUUGUGACGGAGUCUUGCAUUGUCGCCUGGGGUGGAGUGCAAUGGUCUGAUCUCAGCUUACUGGGUUCAAGCAAUUCUGUCUCAGCCUCCCGAGUAGCUGGGAUUACAGGCGUCCGCCACCACGCCCUUCUAAUUUUUUGUAUUUUUAGUAGAGACGGUUUCACUAUGUUGGCCAGUGGAAGACAUUUCUAAGCAGCAAAGCAUUCAAGAGGUGGCUUGGGUGUUGUUAAAGGCAUUCUGUUUUGACUGGGUGCGGUGGUGCACACCUAUAAUCCCAGCACUUUGGGAGGCCGAGGAGGGUGGAUCAAGAGGUCAGGAGUUCAAGACCAGCCUGGCCAAUAUGGUGAAACCCUGUCUCUACUGGAAAUACAAAAAUUAGCUUGGCAUGGUGGUGUGCGCCUGUAGUCCCAGCUUCUCGGGAGGCUGAGGCAGGAGAAUCGCCUGGACCCGGGAGGUGGAGGUUCCAUUGAGCCAAGAUCAUGCCACUGACUCCAGCCUGGGCAACAGACUGAGACUCUGUCUCAAAAAAAAAGAAAAAAAAAAAGGCAUUCAGUUUUAUAAGGGAAGCAGAGCAUAAAAGUUUGGGAAAUUUGCAGCCUGACAAUGUGAUAGUAAAGAAAAUCCCAUUUUCUGAGAGGAAAUUCAAGCUGGCUGCAAAAAUUUGCAUAAGUACCAAGGAGCCGAAUGUUAAUAUCCAAGACAAUGGGGAAAAUAUCUCCCAGACAUGUCAGAGGUCUUCAUGGCAGCCCCUCCCAUCAACAGGUCCAGAGGCCUAGGAGGAAAAAGUGGUUUUGUGGGCAGCACCCAGGGUCCCCAUGCUAUGUGCAGCCUAGGGACUUGGUGCCGUGCGUCUCAGCUCCUCCAGUGGUGACUGAAAGGGGCCAACAUAGAGCUCGGGCUGCUGCUUCAUGGGGUGGAAGUCCCAAAUCUUGGCAGCUUCCAUGUGGUGUUGAGCCUGCGAGUACAUAGAAGUCAAGAAUUGGGGUUUGGGAACCUCCAUCUAGAUUUCAGAAGAUAUAUGGAAAUUCCUGGAUGCCCAGGCAGAAGUUUGCUGUAGGGGUGGGGCCUUCAUGGAGAACCUCUGCUAGAGCAGUGCAGAAGGGAAAUGUGGGGUCGGAGCCCCCACACAGAGUCCCCGCUGCGGCCCUGCCUGAUGGAGCUGUGAGAAGUGGACCACCGUUCUCCAGACCCCAGAAUGGUAGAUCCACCGACAGCUUGCACCGUGUGCCUGGAAAAGCUGCAGACACUCAAUGCCAGCCUAUGAAAGCAGCCUGGAGGGAGGCUUUACCCUGCAAAGCCACAGAAGUGGAGCUGCCCAAGACCAUGGGAAUCCACCUCUUGCAUCAGUGUGACCUGGAUGUGAGACAUGGAGUCAAAGGAUAUCAUUUUGAAGCUUUAAGAUUUGACUGCCCUGCUGGAUUUCAGACUUGCAUGGGUCCUGUAGCCCCUUUGUUUUGGCCAAUUUCUCCCAUUUGGAAUGGCUAUAUUUACCCAAUGCUUAUACCACCAUUCUAUCUAGGAAGUAAAUAACUUGCUUUUGAUUUUACAGGCUCAUAGGCAGAAGGGAUUUGCCUUGUCUCAGAUGAGACUUUGGACUGCGGACUUUUGAGUUAAUGCUGAAAUGAGUUAAGACUUCGGAGGACUAUUGGGAAGGCAUGAUUGGUUUUGAAAUGUGAGGACAUGAGAUUUGGGAGGGGCCAGGGGUGGAAGGAUACGGUUGGGUUCUGUGUCCCCACCCAAGUCUUAUCUUGUAGCUCCCAUAACCCAUGUGUCUUGGGAGGGACCUGGUAAUUCAAUCAUGUGGGCUGGAUGCGGUUGCUCAUGCCUGUAAUCCCAGCACUUUGGGAGGCCAAGGGGGAGAUCACUUGCGAUCAGGAGUUUGAGACCAGCCUGGCCAACAUGGUGAAACCCCAUCUAUACUAAAAAUACAAAAAUUAGCCAGGCACGGUGGUGGGCACCUGUAAUCCCAGCUACUUGGGAGGCUGAGGCAUGAGAAUCACUUGAACCUGGAGGCGGAGGUUGCAGUGAGCCGAGAUCGCACCACUGCACUCCAGCCUGGGCGUCAAAGUGAAACUUAGUCUUAAAAAAAAAAAAAAAAAGAAGAAUGGGAGUGGGUCUUUCCUGUGCUGUCCUCAUGAUAGAGAAUAAGUCUUACAAGAUCUGAUGGUUUUAAAAAUGAGAGUUAUUUCUCUCUUCUCUUGUCUGCCACCAUGUGAGUCAUGCCUUUCACCUUCCACCAUGAUUGUGAGGCCUCCCCAGCCACGUGGAACUGUAAGUCCAAUAAACCUCUUUCUUUUUUUUUUUUUUUUUUUUUUUUUUUGAGACGGAGUCUCACUCUGUUGCCCAGGCUGGAGUGCAGUGGCGCGAUCUCGGCUCACUGCAAGCUCCGCCUCCCAGGUUCACGCCAUUCUCCUGCCUCAGCCUCCCGUGUAGCAGGCAUUGUCACAGGCGCCUGCCACCACACCCACCUAAUUUUUUUGUAUUUUUAGUAGAGACGGGGUUUCACCGUGUUAGCCAGGGUGGUAUCGAUCUCCUGACCUUGUGAUCCGCCCACCUUGGGCUCCCAAAGUGUUGAGAUUACAGGCGUAAGCCACUGCACCCGGCAAUAAACCUCUUUCUUUUGUAAAUUGCCCAGGUAUGUCUUUAUCAGCAGCAUGAAAAUGGACUCAUACAAUGAUCCAUUACCUAGGGUAAAAUUCUCCUGAAUGUCAAACAGAGAUAAACUACAUUUGGGUUUUGGGUAAGUCCCCUGUAAUGAUGAAUCAAGAAUCCUCAAGUCUGUCUUGCCACCCAUUUAAUACGUAUUUUUGUUAAGGCUGAAGUUUAGAGUUAGAAUCAGGACAUUUUGGCCUAUUGAGAGGUUCUGAAUUCCAACAGAAGAUGCCAUGUAAAUCAGUGAAUUUGAUUCUUUUAAAAGCAACUUACAAAAUUUACAAGAUGUAUUCAAUAAAGCAGUUUAGCUUUGGUAUAUCAAACCUUAUAAUGAACCAUUUUUCCCACUUCAUCUUAUGCAAUGUUUAAUAUUUUCUAUUUUUGUCAAGGAUAUUAAACCUACACCUGGAAACAUAUUAAAUGCCAACUUAAAAUGUGAGAAGUUUGGCAGAACUCAGACCCAUUCUUCCAAUUUCCAAGCUGUUUAAUCACACUGAUUCAGACACUCUGGAUAGCAGCUGGGAUUGUAGUUAUCUUUAUGCUUUGAGCUCUCUAGUUUUGUCUACACAUCUUAUAAAAUAUCCCCUCCUCAUUCUCCUCUAGCUGGAACACUAACCCAAUGGAUGUUGUGGUGAACUUUCUUUGACCAGGCAGAGAAGUGCAGCAUUGGGUGGACCAUGCACAACCAGUUUGAGAAGCACUGCUCUAGGGGUUGGGGGAGCAACAAUAGAAAGAGUGUAGGUUCUGAAUACCUGAAGCAUACAUUUUAGCUCUAGACUGCUUAUAUUGUUGUUACAUGAAAGAGAACUUUUAAUCUGGUUUAAACCACUGGAUCUCUUUAUUCCAGCAAGUGAAUCUAUAUCCAACUAAUAUUUACUCCCAGUCUGUUCUUUCUCACCCCUCUUUCCCUUACUAUAAACCUUUUCUAUAUCAAUUUAUAUCAUUAGUUGCUCAGCCCACAAACCAGAUGUCACUUUUGUUUUCUCUUUUCCUUCCCAUUCAUAGCCAGGCCAUCGUUGUGACUUAUUGGCUGUACCUCCAAAAUAUAUCCCAGAUCUGAUCUCUUCUUAUAAUUUGUACUGCUACAACCUUAGUCAAAGCCACUAAUAUCUCUUAUCUGAACUCCAGUGGUUUACUAGUUUUCUGCCUCUCUUCUUGACACAAUUCAUCUUUCUACAUAGCAGCCAGAGUAAGAUAAAAUCAUAAAUCAGAUCAUAUAACUUCUACCCCCUGUACCAAUGGCUAUCUUUUAUACUCAGAAUAAAAUCCAAAACCUUUAUUUGGCUUCCAAGAUCCUACAAGAUAGAGACCUUACUUCUCAUCUUGUACCCAUCAUUUGAUCUUCAGUCCCUUGAAAAUGCCAAGUCUAUUUCCAUUUCAGGGCCUUUGUGCUUGUUACUAUUGUUUCUUUUCUCUUGGAAAACUGCCCAGAUCUUUCCUUAGCUGAAUUAUUCAGAUCCCAACUCAAAUAUCAUCUCUUUAGAAAAUUCUUUCAGAACCAGGUGUGGUGGUGCACACCUGUAAUCUCAGCUACUCGAGUGGCUGAGGCUGAUGGAUUUCUUGAGCCCAGAAGUCUGAGGCCAGCCUGGGCAAUAUAGCAAGAUCCUGUCAAAAAGAAAAAGGUAUCUCACCAUGAUUAUAUUUUAAUUUCCCUUCAGCAAUUAGAAGUCCCUGAAAUUAAUUUACCUUAUUUGUUGGCAUUUGUUGGCAUUGUGCAAGUAAUGCUUGCACCCAGGAGGCAGAGUUUGCAGUGAGCUGAGAUCACGCCACUGCACUCUAGCUUGGGCAAUAGGGCGAGACUGAGUCUCAAAAUAAAUAAAUAAAUACAUAAAAUAAUUUUAGAGACAGAGUCUUGCUCUGUUGCCCAGGCUGGAGUGAAGUGGUGGGAUCUCGGCUUACUGCAACCUCUGCCUCCUGGGUUCAAGCGAUUCUCCUGCCUCAGCCUCCUGAGUAGCUGGGAUUACAGGCGUGCACCACCACGCCUGGCUAAAUUUUGUAUUUUUAGUAGAGAUGGGGUUUUGCCGUGUUGGUCAGGCUGGUCUCGAACUCCUGACCUCUGAUCUGCCCACCUCGGCCUUCCAGAGUGCUGGGAUUACAGGCAUGAGCCACCAUGGGCCCACAAAGCUAUUUUACUUAGCAUUUUUUUUCCCGAGGCUAAAUUGGGAACUACUGACAAUACUAUUGACAAUACUAAAUAUAUUUUUAAAUUAUUUUACUUAUUUUUGAGACAGGGUCUCACUGUGUCACCCACGCUGUAGUGCAGUGAACCAUCACCACUCACUGCAGUCUCACCCUUCCUGAACUCAGGUGAUCCUCCCACCUCAGCCUCCUGAGUAGCUGGGACUACAGGCAUGCACCACCAUGCCUGGCUAAUUUUUAAAAUUUUUUGUAGAGAUGGAGUUUCGCCAUGUUGCCCAGGCUGGUCUCAAACUUCUGGGUUCAAGUGAUGCAAGUGUCUCAGCCUCCUAAAGUGCUAGGAUUACAGGCGUAAGCCACUAUGCCCAGCCUUUUAUUUUAUUUUAUUUUAUUUAUUUAUUUUUUGAGACAGAGUCUUGUUCUGUUGCCCAGGCUAGAGUGCAGUGGUGCAAUCUCAGCUCACUGCAACCUCUGCCUCCCAGGUUCAAGCGAUUAUCAUGUCUCAGCCUCCCUAGUAGCUGGGAUUACAAGUGUGCACCACACGCGGCUAAUUUUUGUAUUUUUUGUAGAGGCAGAGAGGCAGGGUUUUAUUAUGUUGGCCAAGCUGGUCUUGAACUCCUGGCCUCAAGUGAUCUGCUCACCCCGGCCUCCCAAAGUGCUGAGAUUACAGGUGUGAGCCACCAUGCCCACCAACCUAUUUUUUAUUUUAAAAAAUUGACAGCAUACUAAAUGUUUGUAAUGCAAAUGAUAAAAUUGCUACAAUGAAAACAAGAAGUUGAGAAUUAGAUGAAGAGUUGAUUAAGGGAACUAUGAGUCACUGUGUUAGAGCAUGUAUAUUAUGAAAAUUAUAGCAGAAGUGAUAAAGGGUGACAAUUGUUACCUAUCUUCAAUCAAAAGCUCUUUGAAUAUCUUUCUUUUUUUUAAUUUUAUGAAUUUUUUUUACAGAGACAGGGUCUCACUAUAUUGCCCAGGUUGGUCUCGAACUCCUGGGCUCAAGGGAUCCUCUUGCCUUGGCCUCACAAAGUACCUGGAUUACAGGCAUGAGCCACAGUGCCUGGCCCUCUUUGAAUAUCUUUAAUGCUUUUAGAGAUUAGCAUCAGAGAAUUAUUAAUACUAGAGGGCACAAGGAAUUAGCCAUUGCCAGUGGACACCUACAUAGGUGUGACUAUGUGACUCAGUUUUAAAAAUGUGACACAAUGAAAAAAUUCCUUGGAUGUUAUGGAGGACGAAAAUUUUGUAAGUCCUAUCCAUUCUUUAAUGGAGAAACUAAAAUUUACAAUAUUACUUUAUUUAGCCCAAGAUUUUCUUAAGCUUUGUAUUUUCUAAUUCAGCUUUGGCUUACAGAAUCAUGCUUGAAGUUUGAGACUGCCAGCUUUCAACAGGCAGUUACUAGUGAAACUCUUUGGAAAGAUGAGAAGAUGUUGACAUAAGUGUAAUGUGAGACAAAGCAAAGUAAAAUGUAAUUUUUAAGAAAAUGUUGCCGGGUGUGAUGGUGGCUCAUGUUGCUGUUGGUUGCUAUGGGAGUGAACGAAGGGGGACGAAUGCAGAAAUGAAGACAAAGACAAAAAGAGUAUUUUUGGAAGAAGGGGUCAGGGGACUCCUUGCUUCUAGUGGGCAAGGGCCCUGAGCUUCUACAGCCCUUCAUAUUUAUUAGGUAGAAAGAGCAGGGAGGGAGAGGUAACAGUUGGUCAGCUGCUUGAUUUAUCACAGGUACACAUAAUUGCUUCCUUUGUACAACAGGCUUCAGAUGUUACUAUAGAUAAUCACAAGGAACACUGCGCUUGGGGCAUGACUGCCCUCAGCAACCCUUCUGGCGGCAGACACAGUUGUUAGUUUUCCAACAUCCUGCUUUCAUGAGAACAGUUUUCUGUUUGCUCAUAUAGCCUUCAGUGGUAUACUGAGUUGGUCACGACCUUCAUUCUUUCGGCCUGUAACAUCUCCCCAUUUUUGUUUUUGCAUUAAUUGAAUAAAGGUAAUUGCAGGUUGUGCAGCUCUCAAUUGCCGUUUGGUGGUCCAGCUGAUUUUGCAGACUGUUAACAAAAAACAAAAAUAUAAUAACAUUAAUCCCAUAGUUACAAAAAAGACAUUGAGAUGCUAUUUGAAGUAGGUCCCAGGGUUAAGGCUGUCUAAACCUUGCUGGAAUUCUGCCCAAGCUUUUAAAGAGGGCUGAAACGCUUGAGUCUGCUUAUUCAAGUUAAGGAUUUUACUUUGUAAAUCAUUAAUAUCAAAAGUAACAUUGAAUGUGAAAGCUCCCUGUAAAUGGGCUUUUACAAGGCUCAAUGGAUAUUCACUUUGGUUAUAUACCAAAUUGGUCACACAAAUAUGAGUAUGAUUAAAAUGACAACGCAUUGCUGCUGCAACUGCAAACUUUGUACUUGUUCCCCUAGCCAUAGAACAGUAGUCUUUAACAUUGCCACCUCUGUUUGUAUUUCGGUGUUAAUUUUAUUUUGAAGCAUCCAUGCCUGGUCGACUGUGCAUGUCCAGUUUUCCACAUAUUGAGCUGUUUGAAUGGAGCUGUGCGUUGCUGCUGAGGACAACACAACAGAGGUUAUUAAUGUAACUAAGGAGACUAUAACAAAAAUUAUCAUGCCUAAGGCUCUAUGAGCACGAUGAGUAAGCGGAGUAAAAAGGAGUUUCAUAAGAUGUAAAGCGGGGGUGGCUGCCCAAGGCUAAGAUAAAUUUACAGGAAUUCAUAAUCCAGGAACAUGACCUAGAAUUGUUAGGGUGGAUAUGUCAUGUGUUUGUAUUGUGCUAUGAUUAAGGCAAUGAUACAGUUGACAGGAAUCACAAGUCAAUUGGGCAUCAUCUACCUGGAGGUGGGUUUUUUUUGCUGCUAAGAAAAUAUAAGGAUUAAAAACAAAUUGUAAAUUGAGUGGUAAUAUUUUCUACAAGGGUAACAUUAAAACUGUGUUUAGCACAAUUACUAUUAUUGGAUAGUGUCCCAAUCCAAAUGCUGCCAUUCAUAAAUGGGAGUGCUGCUUUCCAUAUUGACUCCUGAAUUGGACCUCUCUUUCCUUGAUAAUGCCAUUGAGGCAAAGGUGAGCUAAAGCAUGUGCUGUGUCAAGCAAUUUGGGCAGCAGAUUGAGAUUGAAUUGCAAUGUGAUGUAGUGGGAGAUGUUAAAGUUUUGCCACCAGUUCCAGCAAAGUUAAUGCCAUGAGGUCUGAUGCUCAUGUCUCCCAACCAAAUGACCAUGGGGACCCCAGUAAAUAAUGUCUCCCAUUAGCAUGGACUGUUGUCUAGCUAGGGAGCUAAGACACGGGGUCCAAGGAGGGGGGUUAGAAUUAUCAAAGGGAGCCCAUUCUAUAUAAUUAAUACAAUUUGGGUGAUGGGGCCGGGAGUGAUUAGUAACUACACCAGUAAUAUUAGUAGAACUAAGGCCCAAUAGGUACGUAAAUUUUCCAUGGUAACUCAACCAUGCCUGGGAUUGAAUUGCAAGGCAACUGCAGUUGAGCAGUGUAUCCUGGGUGAUGCAUAAAGAAAGGCCCUCCAAUGGAGUGGUAUAAUUGAUACCAUUGUUCUGAGAGUCUAAUUGCUCUGUGUCAGGGGGAGUUAAGGGUCCCGGUGCCCAUGCUCCUUGAUCAUGAUAUAUCUCAGGAGGAGUGUCACCCCGGUCAUACUACCGGGGGGUUAGGAACAUAAGCCCAAUAUGUUUUUGCCUCUGCACAGGGAAAACAUAGCACACAGGAUAUCAUAGCUAGCAUGGCCAUAAACAUGGAGUCAGGGGUUUUUGCCUGACCCUGAUGCUCCAGCAGUUUCUCAUCUUCUUGUGUGGUUUUCUUGAUCUGUAAAACACAAGCAUACCCUCAUCCCCAUGUCAGUAAAUCUACCAGGCCUUUCCAUUGUCCUUCUUCCAGGGAUUUCCAUAAUACUUUUGGGUAAACUUUCCUUUUUCCCUCUAACAUUUGCCAGUGUCAUUCUACCGGAGUCUUAUUAUCUGUACCAGGAGUUAAAAAAUUUAAAGUAAAUAAUGCUAAAUGUAGUAUUGUUUGAGGUGGUAACUGGUCUCCUAUACCUCCUUUUUGUUUUUUCAGCGCAUGUUGUAAUGUUUGAUGUGCCUGCUCUAUAAUUCCUUGUCCUCGAGGGUUAUAAGGAAUUCUUGUUUUGUGAGUGACUGCCUAUAACUGUAAACAAUUUUGAAAAGCAUGACUAACUUAAGCAGGUCCAUUGUCAGUUUUUAAUUGUUUAGGGACCCUCAUAUCGGCAAAUGACAACAGACAAUGUCAUUGGACAUGGCCAGCUGUUUCACCUGUUUGACAUGUAGCAUGCAGCAUAUGAGAAUAAGUGUCUAUAGUCAUAUGAACAUAGCUAAGUUUGUCAAAGGCUGCUAUAUGUGUAACAUCAAUUUGCCAGAUUUCAUUUGGAGCUAAGCCUCGUGGGUUACAUCCUUCUACCGGUAUAACACCAGGGACAUGCUGACAAGUGGGGCAGGCUUGCACAAUAGCUCGAGCCUGGCUUCGAGGCAGAUGAAACAUACAAGUAAGGGCAGAGGUGUUUUGAUGCAGUAAUGCAUGAGAGGCUUCAGCUUGCUGAAACACAGAACCAAUCAAUUUAUCUGCUCUAUCAUUACCUAGAGGUAGUGGUCCAGGAAGUUGUGUGUCAGAGCGAAUAUGAGAAAUUUGAAAAGGAGCAGCAUGAGAGCAAACAGCUCGCUGAAGUCUUAGAAACAAGUUAAACAGCUCUGGUUCUAGGGUGCUUUUAAUAGUAGCAGUCUCAAUGCGACUGGCUACAUUUACAACAUAGGCUAAAUCACAGACAAUAUUAAUAGGAGAGGAAGCAGUGAGCUGUAAAACCUGAAUAACUGCCAUUAAUUCUGAGCAUUGAGCUGAAACACCAGGGAUUUUUAUUGUUUUAAUAUGCUUAGGUCCAUAAAUAGAUGCUCAGACUUUGGAAGAGCCGUCAGUGAAAUAAGUCUGGCCACCUGGAAUAGGCUUGUGAUGAGUAAUCACAGGGAGGAUAAAAGGGUAAACUUUAUAAAAUUGCAAAACUUUGUCUGAUGGAUAAUGAUUAUCUAUUAUUCCUUUGCUUCAGCCAACAUCGUAGAGCGAUGAAGCUCAGUUCCCACAUCCUGACAAGCUUUGAUAAAAUUUCCUAAGCUUUUUAUACAUCUCACAGAUGCCAAUGCAUGUUUACAGUCCGUGUUUGCAUUCUCAAAAGCUAGUUAAGGUUAGCAUUUCUGUAGCCAUGGUAAGAGAAAUCUGACACUUCACUGCCUAUGGUAAUCUUGCAAGAAAAUGUGCAUAGAGCUCCUGUGACCCUUUCAUGAUAUGUAAGAGAUUGUACUGGGACCCUUUCCUCUGGAAUUGUGGCCCAGGUGCGUUUAACAGCCAAGGCACACUGCUUACAAGCAGCGUCUGGGAGUGCUAUUUGAUGUUCUAGGUCUGAAUAGGGGCCACUGCCUAACAGCAUCCUCUGUAAUGUCUCUGUGUCCAGCAGCACGAUUCUAUCUAGCCUGGUCUGCACACAGUUCUUGCCAAUUUAAAUACCAUAUCAGGUAUGCACUAGCAGACAAACAAGUGCAAGCCAAAUGCUUUACAUCAAAGGGUGGAAGGCGCAUAGCGCCAAAUAGAUUCUAGCAGUCCUAAAGUAAAUGGGCUUUGUAUUCCAUUAUUAACUACACUAGCUUUUAAUUCCUUCAGCAACUUAAAUUCUAGUGGGGUGUGUUCAUGAAUAAACUGCUGUGGAUUAUGUGGAUCAGGCCUUACGGAAAUAGGAAAAGCUCAAGGUCCUAAGGGUUCUCCAGCCAUAGCAGUAGAGUGUAAAGUUCUUUGUAUUGGGGUCUCUAUUUCUGCUACUGAAGGAGGCGGUUCAGAUGUUUCUGCUACUAGAGGGGGUGACACAGGCCAAUUUUCAUCCUCCUGCUCCUGUUUAUUAUUUUUAAUUGGCGCUGUUGAGAGAACAGAAAGAUUCUUUCAAAUUUUUUGACUCUGAACAUGACUCCUGCUGUCUAGCAGAAUAAGAAAUGAAUAAUGGCAGGAUGAACUAAACUCCAAAUAUAAAAAAGAAAAUAGCCAAAUUCUUCCCCCAUGUUACCCUGAUUCAGAAACUUCCCGUUCCCAGUACCUCUUUAGGGCACUGACCUUAUAUUAGCUGUCAGCAGACUCGUCGCAGGGUUUCUCAUUCUCGUUCUUCUUGUCAGUGUCAGUUUCUCUGCUCCAGCAGACCUUCACUCACGUCCCUGUCCUAGGUGCCAGUUGUCGCUGUUGGUUGUUAUGGGAGUGAACGAAGGGGGAUGAAUGCAGAAACGAAGACAAAGACAAAAAGUAUUUUUGGAAGAAGGGGUCAGGGGGCUCCUUCUAGUGAGCAAGGGCCCUGAGCUUCUACAGCCCUUCGUAUUUAUUAGGUAGAAAGAGCAGGGAGGGAGAGGUAGCAGUUGGUCAGUUGCUUGAUUUAUCACAGGUAUACAUAAUUGCUUUCUUUGUACAACAGGCUUCAGAUGUUCCUAUAGAUAAUCACAAGGAACACUGUGCUUGGGGUGUGACUGCCCUCAGCAACCCUUCUGGCAGCAGACACAGUUGUUAGUUUUCCAACAUCCUGCUUUCAUGAGAACAGUUUUCUAUUUGCUCAUAUAGCCUCCAGUGGUAUACUGAGUUGGUCACGACCCUCAUUCUUUCGGCCUGUAACAGGCUCAUGCCUGUAAUGCCAGCACUUUUGGAGGCCGAGGCAAGAGGAUAGCUUGAGCUCAGGAGUUGGAGACCAGCCUGGGCAACACGGUGAAACCCCAUCUCUGCAAAAAUUAGCCUGGUGUGGUGGGGUGCGCCUGUAGUCUCAGCUGCUUGUGGGGCUGAGGCGGGAGAAUAGCUUGAGCUCCAGGGGUCGAGGCUGCAGUGAGCCAUAAUGGUGCUGCUGCAUUCCAGCCUGGGUGACAAAGUGAGACUAUCUCAAAAAAAAAAACGGCUGUUAGAUAAAAAUGAAGACAAACAACAUUUGCAAGGAUAUAAAUCUUAACCCAUUUAUUGGGGGUAUAGGCUCUGGUGUCAGAUUUCCAUCUGUCCUGUAUUUUGUAACCACAAAAUUGUCCUGGCUGGAUUAAUUGUAAGGAAGUCCCUUUAAACACAUCUAGACUUCCAAAGUUUGUUUACAUACUAAUUAGUUGUCAUGAAAAGCUGCAUUCAACCCAGGGUCUGAGAUGCCUUUUGUAUAUGAAAAGUGCUUCUCUUUCUGACACUGACUGAAUUACAUACAUAACAGAUUCAUUUAUUUAAAAACAAUUUAAGAGGCUUUUUCUAUAAUGCUGAACCUGCUGUGUGGUAUUUAUGUUUAAUUCUGGUCAAAUUUUCAAAACUAAUAAACACUGCAAUUCAAAACCAUUAAUUAUCAAGCAUAGACCAAGUAUCUGAGGUUAUGAGCACAUAUUUAAGAGGUUAGACUCUGGCAUUCCAGACAUUGCAAAUAAUACUUUUCUCAUUUCUAAAUUUCCUAGAAACAAGUGGAGAUUUGUAAAAGGAAAUAAUACUCUUUAAAACAUUUAUUUUUGACUCAGGAUCUGGCUCUGUUGCCCUAGCUAGAGUGCAGUGGUGCCAUCAUCACAGCUCACACAAUAGCCUGGAACUACUGGGCUCAAACCAUCCUCCCACCUCAGCCUCCCAAGUAGCUGGGACUGCAGAUGCAGGCCAUCAUGUCCCGCUAAGUUUUAUUUUAUUUUUGUAGAGACAGAGUCUAUGUUGCUCAGGCUGGUCCUGAACUCCCGGCAUCAAGUGAUCCUCCCACCUCCCAAUAAAACAUGUACUGAUGGCCAGGCACUUGGCUCACGCCUGUAAUCCCAGCACUUUGGGAGGCCGAGGCGGGCAGAUCAUGAGGUCAAGAGAUCAAGACCAUUCUGGCCAACAUGGUGAAACCCUGUCUCUACUAAAAAUACAAAAAUUAGCCAGGUGUGGUGGCACGCGCCGGUAGUCUCAGCUACUCCGGAGGCCGAGGCAGGAUAAUUGCUUGAACCCCAGAGGCGGAGGUUGCAGUGAGCCGAGAUCGUGCCACUGCACUCCAGCCUGGCGACAGAGCAAGACUCUGUCUCAAAAAAAAAAAAAAAACCAAAAACCAAAAAAUCAAAACCAAAACCAUGUAUUGAUAUCAAAGUUUUUUUAUCCUGGCAGGGCACAGUGGCUCACGCCUGUAAUCCCAGCACUUUGGGAGGCUGAGGCAGGUGGAUCACGAGGUCAGGAGUUCAAGACCAGCCUGGCCAAGAUGGUGAAGACCCGUCUCUACUAAAAAUACAAAAAUUAGCCAGGCGCAGUGGCAGGCGCCUGUAAUCCCAGCUACUCGGGAGGCUGAGGCAGGAGAAUCGUUUGAAACCAGGAGGGUAGAGGUUGCAGUGAGCCAAGAUUGUGCCACUGUACUCCAGCCUGGGUGACAGAGUGAUACUAUGUCUCAAAAAAAAAAAAAAAAAAAAAAGAAAAAGAAAAAAGAAAGAAAGUUGCUUUAUCUUUAAAACUAUAUAUAUUGUUUUCACCCCUACAUAGUCCUUGCCUCCCAGACAUCUCCUCACUAACGUCAGUAGACAAUUUGGCAUCUGAUGGUUUGAAAUAGUUUCUGUAAUCAAAUCCUGAAUAAAAUCCAUUUUAAAGC
rnacentral:lncRNA from 1 species